CAUCAGUGGUCCACCAGUUGUCUGUAACAGCUGUCAAAACUUCACCCUGUUCAGCUGGUUGCAUCGCUGGAAUAGUAAUUGCAUGUUUGGUCAUCUGUGGAGCAGGUUUUGGUGGAGGAUACUACAUAUAUAAAAAAAGAACUUGAGUCUCGGUUUCUUGAGGGGAAAGUCCUGAGUUUACAUCCAUCAUCCAUUCACCACCACCACCCUCCUUAGUCAGACUUUGUCGUUCCUUAUACUAUGUCACCUGACUUCUUCUACCACCAUGGGUUGUGGCCUUACAAAAAUCAUAAAUUUGGGUCGUAGUGAGCUAUACUUAUACAGCUGUUUUUGGAUGAGGACGACUGGAUCUAAAAAUCACUGGAUCAAUCAUCAAUCACAAAUAAAUACUAUAAAGAAUCACAAUCACAUGUAUUGAGUUAUGAAAUGUACUGUAACAAAGCUACUUUUUUGCCUACAACAAGAAGAACAUAUGUAUGAGAACUUCAGAGGUAUAUGAGAACAUAUAAACUCAACUGUCUUUUAAAGUAAGUUUUCAACUCAUUUGUCUGAUUUAGUGAAAAGGCCUAAAUGUAAUUUGAAGGGAGAAGCACCAGAGGUUUUGUUUCUGUGGAAAUCAUUUUAACUCUGUUUGGAUCAAAACAGCAACUCUCUAAUUUAAUCAGUUGUUUAUAUUUUUCCUGCAGAUGAUGAAAAUAAAAAUGUGUAAAGUUUUCACCUGCGCCAAGAAGAGACGACACACCAAUGUUGUCGGGGGGUGUUUAGAAAUUAUACUAUUCUGACUAUUUUUCUUCUAUGUUUGGAUUAAAUUUUCUUUUAGAUAAGUAAUUUACAAUGCAGUAAGUCAUAUCAUUAACAGAAUUACCAGUGGAUCUGAAAGCAAUAUAAAUGUGCUUAAAGCUGCAUUAAGUAACUUUUUGGACACUUGUAGGCAGAAGAGCACCAUAACAUAAUGAGACAUAGCAGCCCUGAUAUAUUAUCACCUAAUUGUUUUUUGUUUUUUUUUAUAACUAAUGUGUUGCCAUUUAUACAUCCAGUACAUAUCAACAGCAGCAUUUCUGCAGCAUUUCUGGCCACUUGUUAAAUAAAAUAUUCACUCCCAUUUUAGAAGGUAGCAUAUGCAUUAGAUUUCAAAUCAGAGCUUUUUUGCUAAAAAUGUCUGCCAGUGUUUAUGAGAGUGAAAUGUCUUCAAACCCAAAACAAAGUGUAAAUACAGUAAAAUAUUCCAGUAAACUGUAGUACUGGGUAAUGAUUCAAUAUAUAAUGAGUUGAAAAUAGCUUUUAUUACACCUUUUCUGGUGUGUUUGCUCUGUGUAUAUAUAAUGUUUGCUUUUAUUUUCCUGUUCUUUAUUUUGUCCAAUCUCAGCUUUGUAAAUCAAUGGAUUAAUAUUGGGUUAGGAUGAGAAAUUAUUCUAAUUAACAAGAUACAUCAAUAUUUUGAAAACUGCAACAUAAAAUGUUAAUGCUUUCUCUGUCAUUUGUUUUGACAGCAACUGAAUAUGUAACAGUCUUAUAAAUAUAAUGGUCAAAAUCUGGUAAGCAUAGUAUUUUAAUAAAUCUGUAUAUAUCCUCUUA